GAGUUUGAUCCUGGCUCAGAUUGAACGCUGGGGGCAGGCCUAACACAUGCAAGUCGAGCGGUAACAGGGGAGAGCUUGCUCUCCUGCUGACGAGCGGCGGACGGGUGAGCAAUGCCUGGGAAUAUGCCCUAAUGUGGGGGAUAACCAUUGGAAACGAUGGCUAAUACCGCAUAAUCUCUACGGAGCAAAGGGGGGACCUUCGGGCCUCUCGCAUUAGGAUUAGCCCAGGUGGGAUUAGCUAGUUGGUGAGGUAAGGGCUCACCAAGGCGACGAUCCCUAGCUGGUUUGAGAGGAUGAUCAGCCACACUGGAACUGAGACACGGUCCAGACUCCUACGGGAGGCAGCAGUGGGGAAUAUUGCACAAUGGGGGAAACCCUGAUGCAGCCAUGCCGCGUGUAUGAAGAAGGCCUUCGGGUUGUAAAGUACUUUCAGUUGUGAGGAAGGUGGUAGCGUUAAUAGCGUUAUCAUUUGACGUUAGCAACAGAAGAAGCACCGGCUAACUCCGUGCCAGCAGCCGCGGUAAUACGGAGGGUGCGAGCGUUAAUCGGAAUUACUGGGCGUAAAGCGCAUGCAGGCGGUUUAUUAAGCCAGAUGUGAAAGCCCCGGGCUUAACCUGGGAAUUGCAUUUGGAACUGGUAAACUAGAGUCUUGUAGAGGGGGGUAGAAUUUCAGGUGUAGCGGUGAAUGCGUAUAGAUCUGAAGGAAUAACUGUGGCGAAAGCGGCCCCCCUGAGCAAGACUGACGCUUCAGAUGCGAAAGCUGGAGUGGAAACGUGAUUAGAUACCCUGCUAACCAACGCCGUAAACGACGUCUACUGAACGUUGCGAUCUGAUUCCUGGCUUCGAUACAAACCCUUAUAUCACCUACUGGAUGAUACGCCGGAUGAAGUAA
rnacentral:rRNA from 1 species